rnacentral:rRNA from 1 species
CCUACGGGUGGCUGCAGUGGGGAAUAUUGGUCAAUGGCGGAAACUCUGAACCAGCAACGCCGCGUGAAUGAUGAAGGUCUUCGGAUUGUAAAGCUCUUUUCUAAGGGAAGAAGAAAGUGACGGUACCUUAGGAAUAAGCAUCGGCUAACUACGGGCCAACAGCCACGGCAAUACGUAGGGGGCGGGUGGUAUCCGGAAUGACUGGGUGUAAAGGUUGCGUAGGUGGUUUGACAAGUUGGUAGCGUAACUCUGAGGGUCAAACUCGGCACUACUACCAAAACUGUCGGACUUGAGUGCAGGAGAAGCAAUUGGAAUGCCUGGUGUAGCGGUGGAAUGCGCAGAUAUUAGGAGGAACGCCGAUGGCGAAGGCGAAUUGCCGGACUGUAACUGACGCUGAGGCACGAAAGCGUGGGGAGCAAACAGGAUUAGAUACCCGAGUAGUC